rnacentral:rRNA from 1 species
UACGUAGGUGGCAAGCGUUGUCCGGAUUUAUUGGGUUUAAAGGGUGCGUAGGCGGCUUAUUAAGUCAGUGGUGAAAUACUCUAGCUCAACUAGAGGGGUGCCAUUGAUACUGAUGAGCUUGAGUACAGAUGAGGUAGGCGGAAUUGACGGUGUAGCGGUGAAAUGCUUAGAUAUCGUCAAGAACACCUAUAGCGAAGGCAGCUUACUAGGCUGUAACUGACGCUGAGGCACGAAAGCGUGGGGAGCAAACGGG